rnacentral:rRNA from 1 species
UACGUAGGGUGCGAGCGUUGUCCGGAAUUAUUGGGCGUAAAGGGCUCGUAGGCGGUUUGUCGCGUCGGGAGUGAAAACCCAGGGCUUAACCCUGGGCUGGCUUCCGAUACGGGCAGACUAGAGGUAUGCAGGGGAGAACGGAAUUCCUGGUGUAGCGGUGAAAUGCGCAGAUAUCAGGAGGAACACCGGUGGCGAAGGCGGUUCUCUGGGCAUUACCUGACGCUGAGGAGCGAAAGUGUGGGGAGCGAAAGGG